GCCUGUGUGUGUUUGCACCUAUAGCCCAGCUCUGAGAUGGUGUUUAGGAGUGGUUGGUAUUUAACUACUUUGGUGUAGAAAACCUCCUCCAUGCU